AGGACGGCAUUGUACGCAUGAGGCAGCACAGGCUAAUCUGGGAUGGCACUGUACGCAUGAGGCAGCACAGGCUAAUCUAGGAUGGCACUGUACGCAUGAGGCAGCACAGGCUAAUCUAGGAUGGCACUGUACGCAUGAGGCAGCAAAGGCUAAUCUAGGACGGCACUGUACGCAUGAGGCAGCACAGGCUAAUCUAGGACGGCACUGUACGCAUGAGGCAGCACAGGCUAAUCUAGGACGGCACUGUACGCAUGAGGCAGCACAGGCUAAUCUAGGAAGGCCUUGUACGCAUGAGGCAGCACAGGCUAAUCUAGGAUGGCACUGUACGCAUGAGGCAGCACAGGCUAAUCUAGGACGGCACUGUACGCAUGAGGCAGCACAGGCUAAUCUAGGACGGCACUGUACGCAUGAGGCAGCACAGGCUAAUCUAGGACGGCACUGUAUGCAUGAGGCAGCACAGGCUAAUCUAGGACGGCACUGUACGCAUGAGGCAGCACAGGCUAAUCUAGGACGGCACUGUACGCAUGAGGCAGCACAGGCUAAUCUAGGACGGCACUGUACGCAUGAGGCAGCACAGGCUAAUCUAGGACGGCACUGUACGCAUGAGGCAG